UACAGAGGUCUCAAGCGUUGUUCGGAUUCAUUGGGCGUAAAGGGCUCGUAGGCGGUUUGUCGCGUCGGGAGUGAAAUCCACUGGCUUAACUGGUGGCUUGCUUUCGAUACGGGCAGACUGGAGGUAUGCAGGGGAGAACGGAAUUCCUGGUGUAGCGGUGAAAUGCGCAGAUAUCAGGAGGAACACCGGUGGCGAAGGCGGUUCUCUGGGCAGUAACUGACGCUGAGGAGCGAAAGCGUGGGGAGCGAACAGG
rnacentral:rRNA from 1 species